UACAUUGAUCUUUUGGACCUUAGAGGCCAC
rnacentral:sRNA from 1 species